rnacentral:rRNA from 1 species
AUACGGAGGGUGCAAGCGUUGUUCGGAAUUACUGGGCGUAAAGAGUACGUAGGCGGAUCGUUAAGUUAGAGGUGAAAUCCCAGGGCUCAACCCUGGAACUGCCUUUAAUACUGGCGAUCUAGAGAUCGAGAGAGGUGAGUGGAAUUUCCAGUGUAGAGGUGAAAUUCGUAGAUAUUGGAAAGAACACCAGUGGCGAAGGCGGCUCACUGGCUCGAUACUGACGCUGAGGUACGAAAGCGUGGGGAGCAAACAGGAUUAGAUACCCUUGUAGUCC